rnacentral:rRNA from 1 species
UCUGGUUGAUCCUGCCAGUAGUCAUAUGCUUGUCUCAAAGAUUAAGCCAUGCAUGUCUAAGUAUAAAUAGUAUACAGUGAAACUGCGAAUGGCUCAUUAAAACAGUUAUAGUUUAUUUGAUAAUUGACAAUUACAUGGAUAACCGUGGUAAUUCUAGAGCUAAUACAUGCUUAAACGCCCGACUUUAUGGAAGGGUGGUAUUUAUUAGACUGAAGCCAAUAUUCCUUGUGUCUAUUGCGGUGAUUCAUAAUAACUGAUCGAAUCUCUUUUUGAGAUAAAUCAUUCAAGUUUCUGCCCUAUCAGCUUUCGAUGGUAGUGUAUUGGACUACCAUGGCAGUAACGGGUAACGAAGAAUUAGGGUUCGAUUUCGGAGAGGGAGCAUGAGAAACGGCUACCACAUCUAAGGAAGGCAGCAGGCGCGUAAAUUACCCAAUCCUGACUCAGGGAGGUAGUGACAAGAAAUAGCAAACCGGGAACCUCAUGGUUUCACGGUAUUGCAAUGAGAACAAUUUAAAACCCUUAGCGAGAAUCAAGUGGAGGACAAGUCUGGUGCCAGCACCCGCGGUAAUUCCAGCUCCACUAGCGUAUAUUAAAGUUGUUGCAGUUAAAAAGCUCGUAGUUGAACCUCUGUCUGGGGCUAGUUUUGGCUUUGGUCAGGCUAGUUCUAGGCAUCCGCCUACAAGACUUAGAGGGCAUUCAGUUGUUCACUAGGAGGAGUAGGCAUUUUACUUUGAAAAAAUUAGAGUGUUUAAGGCAGGCAAUCGCCCGCAUAUAUUAGCAUGGAAUAAUAGAAUAGGACACUUUUCCAUUUCGUUGGUUAUUGGAAUCGUGUAAUGAUUAAUAGGGACAGUUGUGGGCAUUUGUAUUUAAUUGUCAGAGGUGAGAUUCUUGGAUUUAUUAAAGACAAACUAACGCGAAAGCAUUUGCCAAGGAUGUUUUCAUUAAUCAAGAACGAAAGUUAGGGGAUCAAAGACGAUCAGAUACCGUCCUAGUCUUAACUUUAAACUAUUCCGACUCAAUGUUUGACUGGCUUAUAUAACCAGUUGAGCGUUGUAUGAGAAAUCAAAGUCUUUAGGUUCUGGGGGGAGUAUGGUUGCAAAGCUGAAACUUAAAGGAAUUGACGGAAGAGCACAACCAGGAGUGGAUUCUGCGGCUUAAUUUGACACAACACGGGGAAACUUACCAGGUUAAAACAAUAGUGGGAUAGACAGUUUGAGAGCGCUUUCUUGAUUGGUUGGGUGGUGGUGCAUGGCUGUUCCUAGUUGGUGGAGUGAUUUGUCUGCUUAAUUGCGUUAACGAACGAGAC